rnacentral:rRNA from 1 species
AUUGAACGCUGGCGGAAUGCUUUACACAUGCAAGUCGAACGGCAGCACGGACUUCGGUCUGGUGGCGAGUGGCGAACGGGUGAGUAACAUAUCGGAACGUAUCCAAUAAUGGGGGAUAACGAGUCGAAAGAUUCGCUAAUACCGCAUACGCCCUACGGGGGAAAGCUGGGGACCUUCGGGCCUGGCGUUAAUGGAGCGGCCGAUAUCUGAUUAGCUAGUGGGUGAGGUAAAGGCUCACCAAGGCGACGAUCAGUAUCUGGUCUGAGGGGACGGCCAGCAACACUGGAACUGAGACACGGUCCAGACUCCUACGGGAGGCAGCAGUGGGGAAUUUUGGACAAUGGGAGCAAGCCUGACUCAGCCAUGCCGCGUGAGUAAAAGAGGCCUUCGGGUUGUAAAGCUCUUUCGCAAGGGAAGAAAACUUAGCCACUAACAUUGGUUGAGGUUGACGGUACCUUGAUAAGAAGCACCGGCUAACUACGUGCCAGCCGCCGCCGUAA